GCGGACGUUACCCUCGCCAACCGGGUCAGGUCCGGAAGGAAGCAGCCCUAACGAUCAGGUGACGGGUCGU
rnacentral:SRP_RNA from 1 species